rnacentral:rRNA from 1 species
GACGGAGGAUGCAAGCGUUAUCCGGAAUGAUUGGGCGUAAAGCGUCUGCAGGUGGCAGUUCAAGUCUGCUGUCAAAGACCGGGGCUUAACUUCGGAAAGGCAGUGGAAACUGAACAGCUAGAGUGCGGUAGGGGUAGAGGGAAUUCCCGGUGUAGCGGUGAAAUGCGUAGAGAUCGGGAAGAACAUCGGUGGCGAAAGCGCUCUACUGGACCGCAACUGACACUCAGGGACGAAAGCUAGGGGAGCGAAUGGG